rnacentral:lncRNA from 1 species
AGACUCAUUAGUGAGGUUCCUAGAAUUCUUUCUAGAUGGACCAACCUCAUUACUUAUGUCCUUUUUAUUCUCUUCAAUUUUAGGACUAUCAAUACUACGUUUUUCUAGUGCGUUCCUAAGUUCUAUGUUCUCUAAGUUUAAGGAACUACAAGAAGAACAAUUAGAACAAUUAUCAAUAGAAGAGGCUUCAUUCAAUUCCUUGAUUUUAUUUUUGAAAUCAACAAUGUCAUUU